rfam:Asian citrus Psyllid, Diaphorina citri - Florida Strain, whole genome shotgun sequence.
CGACCUCGGGCUGUACGGGACUACCCGGUGGAUUUAAGCAUAUCGAUAAGCGGAGGAAAAGAAACUAACGAGGAUUCCCCCAGUAGCGGCGAGCGAAGAGGGAAGAGCCCAGCACCGAAUCCCCGGAGCCGAGUGCUUCGUCGAGGAAAUGUGGUGUUCGAGUGGUCCCGCUUAUCCUGGGCGAUUGGCCGGCGCGUUCAAGUCCACCUUGAAAGGGGCCACGGCCCAGAGAGGGUGCCAGGCCCGUCGAGACCGCCUGCGCCCGCCCAGGAGGGGUCCACUCUAGAGUCGGGUUGCUUGGAAAUGCAGCCCUAAGCAGGUGGUAAACUCCAUCUAAGGCUAAAUACGACCACGAGACCGAUAGCGAACAAGUACCGUGAGGUAAAGUUGAAAAGAACUUUGAAGAGAGAGUUCAACGAGUACGUGAAACCGUUCGGGGGUAAACGAACGAGCCCCGAUGAACGCGAACGGCGAGGACUCAGUUUCGUGUCGGUGUGUGCGGGACCCGCGCGACCCGGUCGUUGGUGCCGUUGGUCCGCGCGCGCGCGGCCGGCGUUUCCGCUCUCCGGGGCGGAACGUCGGUUUUCGUGCGCGCGCCCACGGCCGGCGCCGUCCGCGGGCUCGACGCCGCCCGGCCGAACCGAUUUUCCUCGCCGCAGUGGAACGUCGCGACUCGCUGGGAAGCGGUCGACGCGGUCCGAGUGGAGCUCGGCGCCCACGAGUCCCCGGGAGGGGAGUGCUCGGAGCGGCGCCGAACCUCGGACUCGCUGGCCGGAGUCCCGGCGGUAGUGUCGAACGCACGCGGUUUGGAUACGCCCUCGCGCCUCGUGUGGGGGGGCGUGCCGGGUCGGCGGACGGUAUCUUUCUCGCGUCGGUGCGUGUUGACGCGGCCCAGCCUAGGCUGGGCCGUCUUCCGUGCCGGGUGACGGGGGCCGUUCGUCGGCGUCCGAUGGUGCCGUAUCCCGAACCAGUCGGCGACGACAACCCGAGUCGAGCUCUCGUUCGACCCGUCUUGAAACACGGACCAAGGAGUCUAACGUGUGUGCGAGUCGUUGGGUUCCGCGCGCCGACGCCCCCCCCGGGGACGUCGGCCGCGACCGCAGACGAAACCCGUUGAGGCGAAAAGAAAUUGAAAACGAGUCCAGCACUCGUCGAGGGAAGAUGGCGACGGAUCCGGCCCCCUUGUUACCGGGGGGUUCCCCGAGCAGAUCGGCCCGCAUUCCCGGGGUGCCUCAUCCGCCGGUCGGCCGUGUCAAAGCGCGCGCCGGCCGACGAGAGGUGCGCCCAGAGCACACACGCUAGGACCCGAAAGAUGGUGAACUAUGCCUGGCCAGGACGAAGUCAGGGGAAACCCUGAUGGAGGUCCGAAACGAUUCUGACGUGCAAAUCGAUCGUCUGAGCUGGGUAUAGGGGCGAAAGACUAAUCGAACUAUCUAGUAGCUGGUUCCCUCCGAAGUUUCCCUCAGGAUAGCUGGCGCUCGGAGGUGGUACGAACGAACUCAACUGAGUCUCUUCCGGUAAAGCGAAUGAUUAGAGGCCUUGGGGCCGAAACGACCUCAACCUAUUCUCAAACUUUAAAUGGGUGAGAACCCCGGCUUGCUCGAGAUGUUUGAAGCCGCGGGCCUUGGAUCACUUGAGUGCCAAGUGGGCCAAUUUUGGUAAGCAGAACUGGCGCUGUGGGAUGAACCAAACGCCGAGCUACGGCGACUAAAUCGACGCUCAUGGGAGACCAGAAAAGGCGUUGGUUGCUACCGACAGCAGGGCGGUGGCCAUGGAAGUCGGACAUCCGCUAAGGAGUGUGUAACAACUCACCUGCCGAAGCAACUAGCCCUGAAAAUGGAUGCCGCUGAAGCGGCGGGCCUCUGCUCGGCCGUCAGUGGCAGAGUGGGCUGUCCGGUACGCGUACCGGCCCGGCAGACCCGGUAAGCCCUGACGAGUAGGAGGGCGCAGUGGUGUGCGCAGAAGGGACCGAGCCGUAAGGCCGCCUGGAGCCGCCACUGGUGCAGAUCUUGGUGGUAGUAGCAAAUACUCGAGUGAGAGCCCUGGAGGGCUGAUGUGGAGAAGGGUUCCUUGUGAACAGCCGUUGCACAAGGCUCAGUCGAUCCUAAGUCCUCGCCAAACAGCGAUGCUAUAAGCAGUGGUUCGUGUUGAUUUUGUGUUGAUUGUGUUUUCGCAAAAGCAUAACAACAACGAAAAUUGUAACCGCCACGGACGAAAGGGGACGCGGUCCCCAUUCCGCUACCUGGACGCGGAACCGCUCUCAUGUUUCGUGGCCCUCGUCCGACGUGUCGCCGCUUCAACGCGCGCGCACACGCUCGGCGUAGGCCUCGUCGGGGCAACCCGAAAAGACCCGGAGAAGCUGAGGGGAGCUCCGGGCAGAGUUAUCUUUUCUGUUUCAGCGUUGUAGCUGCCCUGGAAUCCUCUCGCGGGAAGAUAGGGAGCCGAACGCGGAGAGCGCCGCAGUCUGCUGCGGUGUCCGGAGCCUGCCCCUCGGACCGUGAAAAUCCGGGAGAGGGCCACGCGAAGUCUCGCGCCAGGUCGUACUCAUAUCCGCAUCAGGUCUCCGAGGUGAAGAGCCUCUAGUCGUAUAGACUAAUGUAGGUAAGGGAAGUCGGCAAAAUCGAUCCGUAACUUCGGAAUAAGGAUUGGCUCUGAGGAACGCGGUCCGUCGGGCUUGGUCGCGAAGCGGGUUAGCCGCCCACGAGCCUCGUGCGCGGGCGAGGUGCGAGGUGAAGGCCGGUUGUCGUCGCGAUGUCCGCGGCCCCGCGCACCCCGGCGCGCGCCUUCGGGCGUGUGUGUCCGGUGUGUGCGCGUGUGGUUCGCGCGGAGUCGCCGCAGUCGGUUUCGGAUCCGAGCGCCGAGUCCGCGUCCGCGGUGGCUGGGCACCCCGCGGAGCUUCCUCGCUGCGAGACCCCGGGUUCUGUUGGGCGCGGGGUUCACGCCCCGCGUUCGCACCGGGCGCUUCUCUUCGGCGGCCAUGUAAACGGUCAGCUCAGAACUGGCACGGACAAGGGGAAUCCGACUGUCUAAUUAAAACAAAGCAUUGCGAUGGCCCCAAAGGGUGCCUGACGCAAUGUGAUUUCUGCCCAGUGCUCUGAAUGUCAACGUGAAGAAAUUCAAGCAAGCGCGGGUAAACGGCAGGAGUAACUAUGACUCUUUUAAGGUAGCCAAAUGCCUCGUCAUCUAAUUAGUGACGCGCAUGAAUGGAUUAACGAGAUUCCCAAUCUGUCCCUAUCUACUAUCUAGCGAAACCACAGCCAGGGGAACGGUCCUGGAAAAAUUAGCGGGGAAAGAAGACCCUGUUGAGCUUGACUCCAGUCUGGCCCUGUACGGAGAAAUGAGAGGUGUAGAAUAAGUGGGAGACGGGGGUGGCGGUUCACCGUCGGUCGAGUUCCGCGCUCGGGUCGGUGCGCGUGGCCGUCGCCGGUGAAAUACCACUACUCUCAUCGUUUCCUUACUUACUCGAUGAAGCGGAAAGCGUGUGGCUACGCUGUCGGCGGUGUCCGCGGCGGUUCGCGCGGCCGUCCCGCGCGCCGUUUCGGGCCUCCGGGUUCGGGAGCGGAUCGCGCGGGCGACGCCGGGGUCGGUCGCCGGGGCCGUCGGCUUCGCCAUCCAAUCACGGAAUUCUUGAAACCAAGCGCAAGCGGGUCGUCGACCGGGCGUCGCGUUCGUUGCUCGCGGGCGAGUGGCUUUCGUUGCUGGCGUUCCGCGGCGGCGAGUCGCGGCGUCCACCUCAGGUCGGCGAGCUUAUCCCCGAGCGCGAUCCGAUUCGAGGACCGCGCCAGGCGGGGAGUUCGACUGGGGCGGUACAUCUGUCAAAGAAUAACGCAGGUGUCCUAAGGUCGGCUCAGCGAGGACAGAAACCUCGCCCGGAGCAAAAGGGCAAAAGCCGGCUUGAUCUCGAUGUGUUCAGCACAGCAUAGGGACUGCGAAAGCAAGGCCUUUCGAUCCUUUUGGCUUGACCGAGGUUUUCAGCAAGAGGGUGUCCGGAAUAGUUACCACAGGGGAUACUGGCUUGUGGCGGCCAAGCGUCAUAGCGACGUCGCUUUUUGAUCCUUCCGAUGUCGGCUCUCCCUAUCAUCUUUGCGAAGCAAAAUCGCUGAGUGUCGGGAUUGUUCACCCGUCUAAAGGGAACGUGAGCUCGGUUUCGACCCGUUCGUGAGACAGGUUAGUUCUUACCGCCCUACCGAUGAACUGCGGAGACCCGGAAGGUCGUUGCCGUCAGAAAUCCUGCUCAGCACGAAGGGAACCAGCCGCAGGGCGGACAAUUGGUCGAGCACCGCCCCGAGCGGACACCGGUGGCCGACGCAACCAUCAGCGGGAUACGCCCUGAACCCCCAAGGCCGUACCGUUUCUUACCCCCCGCUUCAUCGAAGUUUUAAGUAAAAAAGGAGAAAAAACGGAUUGGAAAAAGUAGUUUUUGGGUAAAAAUUUCCCCACCGGGCGGAAACCGGGGCACGCGGAAAAAAACCCCGAAACCGAAGCCCGCCGAAAAACUUUCGGAAACGACGGUUGAAACCGCACCCCCCGGUCUUCCGCCGCCUUAUUCCUUAACCCUUUUCUCCAAUUAGGUCCUCCCCGUUUUCA